UUCUUAUCCAGAGAGGUGGAGGGACUGGCCCUUUGAAGCCUCAGCAACAGGUCUGAAUGCAGACACUGUGCUAAUUCCAGCGGGUGUUGAAUAACCCUGAUAGAUAGGAG
rnacentral:ncRNA from 2 species